rnacentral:tRNA from 1 species
GUCUGGGUGGCUCAGUCAGUUAAGCAUCCGACUUCGGCUCAGGUCAUGAUUUUACGGCUCGUGGGUUCAAGCCCUGCCUCGGACU